GGAAGGAAGGAAGGAAGGAAGGAAGAAAGAAAAGGAAGAAACCGAAAGCCGGGUGCCUGGACGAUUUCUUGGAGCUUCCUAGCCCUUGCGUUGCAAGCAUGGGUAACAACGGAUGGGUUAUUUCUUACACGGCUUGGGAAUUUCAAGCAAAGAGAACCAAGAAUUUGCAACUAAAAAAAAAAUUAUGGAAAAGAAGAUGAAAGGCUUCCAUUUCCAUGGGACACGCGCGCCAGAGGCUCACGUGUGCAUGGUUUUAAAGAGCAUGGCCCAGAGGAAGGACAUCAUUGCUUAAACUAAUGGCUGGGACAUGGUAGAUACUGACACCCAAUUUUUAAAAAACACAAACACCAACUGGAAUGCCAG